rnacentral:rRNA from 1 species
GACGAACGCUAGCGGCGUGCCUAAGGUAUGCAAGUCGAGCGGGAGGCUUCGGCCUCCAGCGGCAAACGGUUGAGUAACACGUAGACAACCUGCCCGUAAGACGGGGAUAACUCGGGGAAACUCGGGCUAAUACCGGAUGUGGAAGCGGGGGGCAUCCCCCGUUCUCUAAACGAGCAAUCGGCUUACGGAUGGGUCUGCGGCCUAUCAGCUAGCUGGUGGGGUAACGGCCUACCAGGGCUUCGACGGGUAGCUGGUCUGAGAGGAUGACCAGCCAGACGGGGACUGAGACACGGCCCCGACUCCUUCGGGAGGCAGCAAUGAGGGAUAUUGCGCAAUGGGGGAAACCCUGACGCAGCGACGCCGCGUGGGUGAUGAAGUCCUUCGGGAUGUAAAGCCCUUUUGCUGGGGAAGACACAAGGACGGUACCCAGCGAAUAAGCCCCGGCUAACUACGUGC